CAAUCACUUGUCUCUUAAAUGGGGACCUGUAUGAAUGGCAUAACGAGGGUUUAACUGUCUCCUUUCCUAAGUUAAUGAAAUUGAUCCCCCCGUGCAGAAGCGGGGAUAAGAACAUAAGACGAGAAGACCCUAUGGAGCUUUAGGCAACAAGCAGAUCACACCUAAACAACCCUAAUUAAAGGAAAAAAUAUACUGAACCCUGUCCUAAUGCCUUUGGUUGGGGCGACCGCGGGGAAACAAGAAACCCCCAUGUGGAAUAGGACCACCCGUCCUCCAAAAAAGAGCCCCCGCUCUAAAAACCAGAACAUCUGACCUUUAAGAUCCGGCAUUGCCGAUCAACGGACCGAGUUACCCUAGGGAUAACAGCGCAAUCCCCUUAUAGAGCCCA
rnacentral:rRNA from 1 species